AAUGAACGUUGGCGGCGUGGAUUAGGCAUGCAAGUCGAGCGAGAACCGUAGCAAUACGGGGAAAGCGGCGAAAGGGAGAGGAAUACGUGGGUACCUACACCUGGAUUCGGGAUAGUCGUGGGAAACUACGGGUAAUACCGAAUAACGUCUACGGACAAAAGGUGAGAGUCCGUCCGGGGAGGGGCCCGCGUCCUAUUAGCUUGUUGGCGAGGUAACGGCUCACCAAGUCGAAGAUGGGUACGGGAUGUGAGAGCAUGAUCCCGCUCAUUGGGACUGAGACACUGCCCAGACACCUACGGGUGGCUGCAGUCGAGAAUCUUCGGCAAUGGGGGAAACCCUGACCGAGCGACGCCGCGUGCGGGAUGAAGGCCUUCGGGUUGUAAACCGCUGGCAGAGGGGAGGAAAUGCUGGUGGGUUCUCCCACCAGUUUGACCUAGCCUCAGAGGAAGGACGGGCUAAGUUCGUGCCAGCAGCCGCGGUAAAAC
rnacentral:rRNA from 1 species